rnacentral:lncRNA from 1 species
GUAUAGUCAGGGAGAAGAAACACUCGUCUGUGUUAUUCAAACCCCUUCUUCACUUGCAGUUUUCCUUCCUGAGCUAACUGAGCCUCUUGUGAGCAGGGAGGCAGGCAGGGGUUGGUGAGGAGCACAGUCGGUGUGGGGUGUUGCAGAGUGAGAACUGCAGCACCGAGUUUAUUAACUGGUGCCUGAGUUAAUGCCCAGCAAGAGAUAGGAAAGAAGAAAUAUUUAAUAUUUCUCCGUAGUGCCACUGCUGGUGUUUCCAAUACUGAGAGAUGCCCUGUCAUCGCGCUCAGGAUUAAGGUGUUGCAGCCCCAGUGCCAGCCCGGAUAAUGCAGAGUGAUUGCUGGGCUGAAUGAAUUCUGACACAGCCGCCCUGACUUCAGCAGAGCUGCACGGGCGGUGGGUUUGGCCCGUGCAUCCCAUUGUUAUGUGGAAAUUGUCAGCAGUUUCAGGGUCAGGAAAAUAUUCCAGCAACAUUGAAAGGAUCAUCUUGCUUGAUGUAUGCAGUGAUUAUGCAGCAUUCUGCAGGUUUCAAACUUUAUCUGAAUAAAUGUGCAGAUGUUAUGGGGAGAAGAACCACCAAACCCACACAAAACAAGAUUUGAUAAUACCUCUAAUUUAACUGCUGAUAGGACUUUUGAAGGUUCUGGUAAAUUCCUGGGCUCUGUAAUUCAAAAAAAAAGGAAAAAAUAGGUCCUUGGCCUUGUCCAAAUAAUGAUAAACAAAAGCACGAAUGCCAUAAAUAAAUUUAUAUUAUUUAACA